UAUUUCAAAAGAUGGCUGCCUUGAGUUGUCUUGGAGAGACCUGACCUGACCUUCUGGAGAAACAUGGAUUUAAAGCACCAUCCUUGACCUAGUGCAGACAGAUGGCAAUUUAUGCUGAGCACAAUCAGGACUAUUCAGCGUCGGGUAGGCUGGUCCUCCCCACAGGAGAGAGGCCCAAUCACAGUCCUAAUGAACACAUUGAGAGCUGUCUGCUCCAAAUGAGUCCCAGUAGGAGCCGGCCCACAGUGGGCCUGUUGUCUCUUGAACUCACGCAACCAGAGAGUUAACGCACUAAUAUUAGAGGACAGUGCCAAUCUGAUGAAGUGUCAUUUAUAUUUAGAUGUGAGAGGAUCAGGGUUGCUUCAAAACAGAUGCCCACAGACGUCAUCAGUACCUGUCCAGGCGUUCCAGUUUGGCUGCUGAACGCUGGCCUCGAUGAACUGUAGGGUCAGCACACCUCCAGCCCUACUCCAGCUUGCUAUUCAUCCUCUACCACACUGGGGGCACCUGGCACCCCUCCC
rnacentral:lncRNA from 1 species